AUUGAACGCUAGCGGCAUGCUUUACACAUGCAAGUCGAACGAGUGGCGGACGGGUGUGUCAUAUAUCGGAACGUGCCCAGUAGCGGGGGUUAACUACGCGAACGGGUGGCUAAUACCGCAUACUAUUGUAUCGGCCGAUAUCGGAUUAGCUAGUUGGUGGGGUAAAGGCUUACCAAGGCAACGAUCCGUAGCUGGUUUGAGAGGGUGACCAGCCACACUGGAACUGAGACACGGCCCAGACUCCUACGGGAGGCAGCAGUGGGGAAUUUUGCGCAAUGGGGGAAACCCUGAUCCAGCCAUGCCGCGUGUGUGAGAAGGCCUUCGGGUUGUAAAGUACUUUUGGCAGAGAAGCGGUACCUGCAGAAAAAGCACCGGCUAACUACGUGCCAGCAGCCGCGGUAAUAC
rnacentral:rRNA from 1 species